rnacentral:rRNA from 2 species
GACUGCGCGUGCGUAUACUGCAGUCGAGCGGAUCUUCAUUAGCUUGCUUUUGAAGAUCAGCGGCGGACGGGUGAGUAACACGUGGGCAACCUGCCUGUAAGACUGGGAUAACUUCGGGAAACCGGAGCUAAUACCGGAUAAUCCUUUCCCUCACAUGAGGGAAAGCUGAAAGACGGUUUCGGCUGUCACUUACAGAUGGGCCCGCGGCGCAUUAGCUAGUUGGUGAGGUAACGGCUCACCAAGGCAACGAUGCGUAGCCGACCUGAGAGGGUGAUCGGCCACACUGGGACUGAGACACGGCCCAGACUCCUACGGGAGGCAGCAGUAGGGAAUCUUCCGCAAUGGACGAAAGUCUGACGGAGCAACGCCGCGUGAACGAUGAAGGCUUUCGGGUCGUAAAGUUCUGUUGUCAGGGAAGAACAAGUACCGGAGUAACUGCCGGUACCUUGACGGUACCUGACCAGAAAGCCACGGCUAACUACGUGCCAGCAGCCGCGGUAAUACGUAGGUGGCAAGCGUUGUCCGGAAUUAUUGGGCGUAAAGCGCGCGCAGGCGGUUCCUUAAGUCUGAUGUGAAAGCCCCCGGCUCAACCGGGGAGGGUCAUUGGAAACUGGGGAACUUGAGUGCAGAAGAGGAGAGCGGAAUUCCACGUGUAGCGGUGAAAUGCGUAGAGAUGUGGAGGAACACCAGUGGCGAAGGCGGCUCUCUGGUCUGUAACUGACGCUGAGGCGCGAAAGCGUGGGGAGCGAACAGGAUUAGAUACCCUGGUAGUCCACGCCGUAAACGAUGAGUGCUAAGUGUUAGAGGGUUUCCGCCCUUUAGUGCUGCAGCAAACGCAUUAAGCACUCCGCCUGGGGAGUACGGCCGCAAGGCUGAAACUCAAAGGAAUUGACGGGGGCCCGCACAAGCGGUGGAGCAUGUGGUUAAUUCGAAGCAACGCGAAGACCUU